GCCUGGUGGCUCAGUCGGUUGAGCGCCUGACUUCAGCUCAGGUCAUGAUCUCGUGGUUCACGGGUUUGAGCCCCGUGUUGGGCU
rnacentral:tRNA from 1 species